UACCCACACAUUUGUGGUAUUUAACUUUUCCAGGCUUGUUUCAGUAAUGUAUGCUUAGCAAACUACAAAAUAGUGCAAAUACACCUUAGCAUAAUAACCUGGCCAUGCUAGUGUUUGCUUUUAGCCCAGUUUUACAUUUUUAAUGGACUCUGACAUUAGGUUACUGUUUACGUACAAGUAGGUACAGUCCACUCAAUCAGAGCUGUCGAGUAUUCGUAUGAAAGGCUUUAACAUGGUCUUUGA